GUCAAAUACACAGUCGCUAUAGCACUGUUCCAACUGUUUAGCAGUUAAUGUUGUCUUCAUUUCCCCUGUACUAAUCACUCAUCUAACAUGCUUGGAUAUGUAAGCAAGAGUUCCAACAGGAUUCACAGACAUGCAUGUUGGUGACAUGGGCAGGUUAAUAUGUUGGAUGACAAGGACAGGUGAAUAUGUUGGAUGACAAGGGCAGGUGAAUAUGCUUGGAUGACAAGGGCAGGUUAAUAUGUUGGAUGACAAGGGCAGGUUAAUAUGUUGGAUGACAAGGGCAGGUGAAUAUGUUGGAUGACAAGGGCAGGUGAAUAUGCUUGGAUGACAAGGGCAGGUGAAUAUGCUUGGAUGACAAGGGCAGGUUAAUAUGUUGGAUGACAAGGGCAGGUGAAUAUGCUUGGAUGACAAGGGCAGGUUAAUAUGUUGGAUGACAAGGGCAGGUGAAUAUGCUGGAUGACAAGGGCAGGUGAAUAUGUUGGAUGACAAGGGCAGGUGAAUAUGUUGGAUGACAAGGGCAGGUGAAUAUGCUGGAUGACAAGGGCAGGUUAAUAUAUUGGAUGACAAGGGCAGGUGAAUAUGCUGGAUGACAAGGGCAGGUGAAUAUGCUGGAUGACAAGGGCAGGUGAAUAUGCUGGAUGACAAGGGCAGGUUAAUAUAUUGGAUGACAAGGGCAGGUGAAUAUGCUGGAUGACAAGGGCAGGUGAAUAUGCUGGAUGACAAGGGCAGGUUAAUAUAUUGGAUGACAAGGGCAGGUGAAUAUGCUGGAUGACAAGGGCAGGUGAAUAUGCUGGAUGACAAGGGCAGGUUAAUAUAUUGGAUGACAAGGGCAGGUGAAUAUGCUGGAUGACAAGGGCAGGUGAAGAUGUUGGAUGACAAGGGCAGGUGAAUAUGUUGGAUAACAAGGGCAGGUGAAUAUGUUGGAUGACAAGGGCAGGUUAAUAUGUUGGAUGACAAGGGCAGGUUAAUAUAUUGGAUGACAAUUGCAGGUUAAUAUAUUGGAUGACAAGGGCAGGUUAAUAUAUUGGAUGACAAGGGCAGGUGAAUAUGUUGGAUGACAAGGGCAGGUGAAUAUGUUGGAUGACAAGGGCAGGUGAAUAUGCUUGGAUGACAAGGGCAGGUGAAUAUGCUUGGAUGACAAGGGCAGGUGAAUAUGUUGGAUGACAAGGGCAGGUGAAUAUGCUUGGAUGACAAGGACAGGUGAAUAUGCUUGGAUGACAAGGACAGGUGAAUAUGCUUGGAUGACAAGGGCAGGUUAAUAUGUUGGAUGACAAGGGCAGGUGAAUAUGUUGGAUGACAAGGGCAGGUGAAUAUGCUUGGAUGACAAGGGCAGGUGAAUAUGUUGGAUGACAAGGGCAGGUGAAUAUGCUUGGAUGACAAGGGCAGGUGAAUAUGCUUGGAUGACAAGGGCAGGUGAAUAUGUUGGAUGACAAGGGCAGGUGAAUAUGUUGGAUGACAAGGGCAGGUGAAUAUGUUGGAUGACAAGGGCAGGUGAAUAUGUUGGAUGACAAGGGCAGGUGAAUAUGUUGGAUGACAAGGGCAGGUGAAUAUGUUGGAUGACAAGGGCAGGUGAAUAUGUUGGAUGACAAGGGCAGGUGAAUAUGUUGGAUGACAAGGGCAGGUGAAUAUGUUGGAUGACAAGGGCAGGUGAAUAUGUUGGAUGACAAGGGCAGGUGAAUAUGUUGGAUGACAAGGGCAGGUGAAUAUGCUGGAUGACAAGGGCAGGUGAAUAUGCUGGAUGACAAGGGCAGGUGAAUAUGUUGGAUGACAAGGGCAGGUUAAUAUGCUGGAUGACAAGGGCAGGUGAAUAUGCUGGAUGACAAGGGCAGGUGAAUAUGUUGGAUGACAAGGGCAGGUGAAUAUGCUGGAUGACAAGGGCAGGUGAAUAUGUUGGAUGACAAGGGCAGGUGAAUAUGUUGGAUGACAAGGGCAGGUGAAUAUGUUGGAUGACAAGGGCAGGUGAAUAUGUUGGAUGACAAGGGCAGGUGAAUAUGUUGGAUGACAAGGGCAGGUUAAUAUAUUGGAUGACAAGGGCAGGUGAAUAUGCUGGAUGACAAGGGCAGGUGAAUAUGCUGGAUGACAUGGGCAGGUGAAUAUGCUGGAUGACAAGGGCAGGUGAAUAUGCUGGAUGACAAGGGCAGGUGAAUAUGCUGGAUGACAUGGGCAGGUGAAUAUGCUGGAUGACAUGGGCAGGUGAAUAUGUUGGAUGACAAGGGCAGGUGAAGAUGUUGGAUGACAAGGGCAGGUGAAUAUGUUGGAUGACAAGGGCAGGUGAAUAUGCUUGGAUGACAAGGGCAGGUUAAUAUGCUUGGAUGACAAGGGCAGGUGAAUAUGUUGGAUGACAAGGGCAGGUGAAUAUGUUGGAUGACAAGGGCAGGUGAAUAUGUUGGAUGACAAGGGCAGGUGAAUAUGUUGGAUGACAAGGGCAGGUGAAUAUGUUGGAUGACAAGGGCAGGUGAAUAUGUUGGAUGACAAGGGCAGGUGAAUAUGUUGGAUGACCAGGGCAGGUGAAUAUGCUGGAUGACAAGGGCAGGUGAAUAUGUUGGAUGACAAGGGCAGGUGAAUAUGCUGGAUGACAAGGGCAGGUGAAUAUGCUGGAUGACAAGGGCAGGUGAAUAUGUUGGAUGACAAGGGCAGGUGAAUAUGUUGGAUGACAAGGGCAGGUGAAUAUGCUGGAUGACAAGGGCAGGUGAAUAUGUUGGAUGACAAGGGCAGGUGAAUAUGUUGGAUGACAAGGGCAGGUGAAUAUGUUGGAUGACAAGGGCAGGUGAAUAUGUUGGAUGACAAGGGCAGGUGAAUAUGUUGGAUGACAAGGGCAGGUGAAUAUGCUUGGAUGACAAGGGCAGGUUAAUAUGUUGGAUGACAAGGGCAGGUGAAUAUGUUGGAUGACAAGGGCAGGUGAAUAUGCUUGGAUGACAAGGGCAGGUGAAUAUGCUUGGAUGACAAGGGCAGGUGAAUAUGUUGGAUGACAAGGGCAGGUGAAUAUGUUGGAUGACAAGGGCAGGUGAAUAUGUUGGAUGACAAGGGCAGGUGAAUAUGCUGGAUGACAAGGGCAGGUGAAUAUGUUGGAUGACAAGGGCAGGUGAAUAUGCUGGAUGACAAGGGCAGGUGAAUAUGCUGGAUGACAAGGGCAGGUGAAUAUGUUGGAUGACAAGGGCAGGUGAAUAUGUUGGAUGACAAGGGCAGGUGAAUAUGCUGGAUGACAAGGGCAGGUGAAUAUGUUGGAUGACAAGGGCAGGUGAAUAUGUUGGAUGACAAGGGCAGGUGAAUAUGUUGGAUGACAAGGGCAGGUGAAUAUGUUGGAUGACAAGGGCAGGUUAAUAUGCUGGAUGACAAGGGCAGGUUAAUAUGUUGGAUGACAAGGGCAGGUGAAUAUGUUGGAUGACAAGGGCAGGUGAAUAUGUUGGAUGACAAGGGCAGGUGAAUAUGUUGGAUGACAAGGGCAGGUUAAUAUGCUGGAUGACAAGGGCAGGUUAAUAUGUUGGGGCGGUAGUAGAGAUCUUUAGUUAUUGGCUAGACUGAACAUGUAGAAGCAUUCUUUCAAUCCCCAGAAGAUUAUCUGAACCUGAAGUCAUUUAUUCUCUGUAAGACUAAGAUAGUAUGUUUUUACACACACACUGUCCUUGACCUUGUUCCUGUCUACUGAUGGAGAAAACCUUCCCAUCGCUUCAUCCUAACUUUAAAAUGACCUCUCACACAAUUCUCUCCUCAACUUGACCUUCUCCUCCUUUUUUGUUUGGUUUACACGCAAUCAUUCCCUCCAUUCAUCAGACAGUCUGCAUAGUGACAGUCUGCAUAGUGACGGUCUGCAUAGUGACGGUCUGCAUAGUGACGGUCUGCAUAGUGACGGUCUGCGACAGUGACAGUCUAUCCCCAGCUCACUCCCUCUGUCCCCAGCUUACUCCCUCUGUCCCCAGCUCAAUCCCUCUGUCCCCAGCUCACUCCCUCUAUCCCCAGCUCACUCCCUCUAUCCCCAGCUCUCUCUCUCCCUCUAUCCCCAGCUCUCUCUCUCCCUCUAUCCCCAGCUCUCUCUCUCCCUCUAUCCCCAGCUCUCUCUCUCCCUCUAUCCCCAGCUCACUCCCUCCCUCUAUCCCCAGCUCUCUCUCUCCCUCUAUCCCCAGCUCUCUCUCUCCCUCUAUCCCCAGCUCUCUCUCUCCCUCUAUCCCCAGCUCUCUCUCUCCCUCUAUCCCCAGCUCUCUCUCUCCCUCUAUCCCCAGCUCUCUCUCUCCCUCUAUCCCCAGCUCUCUCUCUCCCUCUAUCCCCAGCUCUCUCUCUCCCUCUAUCCCCAGCUCUCUCUCUCCCUCUAUCCCCAGCUCUCUCUCUCCCUCUAUCCCCAGCUCUCUCUCUCCCUCUAUCCCCAGCUCUCUCUCUCCCUCUAUCCCCAGCUCUCUCUCUCCCUCUAUCCCCAGCUCUCUCUCUCCCUCUAUCCCCAGCUCUCUCUCUCCCUCUAUCCCCAGCUCACUCCCUCCCUCUAUCCCCAGCUCUCUCUCUCCCUCUAUCCCCAGCUCUCUCUCUCCCUCUAUCCCCAGCUCUCUCUCUCCCUCUAUCCCCAGCUCUCUCUCUCCCUCUAUCCCCAGCUCUCUCUCUCCCUCUAUCCCCAGCUCUCUCUCUCCCUCUAUCCCCAGCUCUCUCUCUCCCUCUAUCCCCAGCUCUCUCUCUCCCUCUAUCCCCAGCUCUCUCUCUCCCUCUAUCCCCAGCUCUCUCUCUCCCUCUAUCCCCAGCUCUCUCUCUCCCUCUAUCCCCAGCUCUCUCUCUCCCUCUAUCCCCAGCUCUCUCUCUCCCUCUAUCCCCAGCUCUCUCUCUCCCUCUAUCCCCAGCUCUCUCUCUCCCUCUAUCCCCAGCUCUCUCUCUCCCUCUAUCCCCAGCUCUCUCUCUCCCUCUAUCCCCAGCUCUCUCUCUCCCUCUAUCCCCAGCUCUCUCUCUCCCUCUAUCCCCAGCUCUCUCUCUCCCUCUAUCCCCAGCUCUCUCUCUCCCUCUAUCCCCAGCUCUCUCUCUCCCUCUAUCCCCAGCUCUCUCUCUCCCUCUAUCCCCAGCUCUCUCUCUCCCUCUAUCCCCAGCUCUCUCUCUCCCUCUAUCCCCAGCUCUCUCUCUCCCUCUAUCCCCCGCUCUCUCUCUCCCUCUAUCCCCCGCUCUCUCUCUCCCUCUAUCCCCCGCUCUCUCUCUCCCUCUAUCCCCGGCUCUCUCUCUCCCUCUAUCCCCGGCUCUCUCUCUCCCUCUAUCCCCGGCUCUCUCUCUCCCUCUAUCCCCGGCUCUAUCCCCCGCUCUACCCCCGGCUCUAUCCCCGGCUCUAUCCCCCGCUCUAUCCCCAGCUCUAUCCCACACUCUAUCCCCAUUUCUCUUACUCUUUCCUUUCUCUUUCUCUCCGUCCUUUUUGCUCUAACGCUCCCCCUUCUCUCUCUGUCAUUAGCUAAGUCAUUAAGUUAAACCAGCACCCAGAAGCCCUUAAAAACUCUGCAGCGUGAAAUUAAGGUGCCGUUUUAGAAGGGAAGGUAAUCUGUGAGAGAGAAACGGUCUGGAGGGAACGAGACAGAAGAAUACUGUUCCUGAGACAAGACGGCCAUCAGAAAGAACAUGGCAGAGAGGGGGAGAGGUGGUUAGAAAUGGAUGGAUGGAGGGUGAAAGAGAGCAGGGAAAUGGACCGGAAAGAGAGCGACGGGUGGAGAUGGAGGGAGGGAGAGAGCCAUCGGGGGAGAAGAGAGCAGAACAAGCUGUUGAUUUGUAUGCGGUUGAGUGCUGGGACAGCUAUAAUGUCCUGAUGGAUCGGUGUGUCUAUUCCCAUGCUGCCAAGACUACAUUUACUAGAAUGUCUUGGACAUCUCUCUAGCACACACAGGUGUCUGAUGUUUACUCUGUGUACCCCUGUUGUCUUCAUUUAACUUCUCCCCUGUGU